AUUUAUUGACAUGACACCUCCCAGCCGCGGGAGGGAGAGGGCACACUUUCCCUAUCCCCAGAGAUUGAGACCCUGGGGAAAAUAACUCUGAUUCUUUCUCUCUCUCCCUCUUCUCUUUUCCUCCUCGCUUGGUUCUGGUUCGGUUGGCUUUGGUGGCCUUCCUCAGAGGAGGAAGCCUCCCCCCACCAGAGAGCCUCAGGAGAGGGGCACCAUCUCAAGUCGAAGAGACCCAACCCCUGUGCCUACACACCACCUUCGCUGAAAGCUGUGCAGCGCAUUGCUGAGUCUCACCUGCAGUCUAUCAGCAAUUUGAAUGAGAACCAGGCCUCAGAGGAGGAGGAUGAGCUGGGGGAGCUUCGGGAGCUGGGUUAUCCAAGAGAGGAAGAUGAGGAGGAAGAGGAGGAUGAUGAAGAAGAGGAAGAAGAGGACAGCCAGGCUGAAGUCCUGAAGGUCAUCAGGCAGUCUGCUGGGCAAAAGACAACCUGUGGCCAGGGUCUGGAGGGGCCCUGGGAGCGCCCACCCCCUCUGGAUGAGUCCGAGAGAGAUGGAGGCUCUGAGGACCAAGUGGAAGACCCAGCACU
rnacentral:sRNA from 1 species